UCCCUCUGAUUGAUGUUGCGCUAUAUCCCUCGAGGUUCACGUGGGUAAAGGUCAGUUAUUAAGAAACUCAUAAAUAAUCAUAUAGAACCAAAUUAAUUCCCGCCCGCUGUAGACUUAUAUCAACAUUGUGAAUCAAGCCCUUGAUACAAACUUUUGCAUUUUACAGGGGCCGGGGUCAAAAAUUCCGUUGUUCAGAGCGUGCGGCUUGUUAUGACACUAUCAGAAUCCGCUAUUUUGCAUACGUCAUUCACCCCUUGCUGGCUGCCUGGGAUGUCGCCGACUUGUACUGGUUUUCGUUGGAUUGUACCGGUUGCAUUUUCUUAGCGAAUCUCCGUGAUUUUAGGGAAUUUUAUCGAAUUUUAGUGAUCAAAUCAAAAUGACCUCCAAGAAAUUUGUUGUUGUGGAGUGGCUGAACAACGCAGGGGAUCGUUGCGAGUUAACAGUUCUCAGGGGAAGUGAAGUUUUGCGCCAGGGUGGUUUGGUAUCGGUGGUAUUCAUUGCAUUGCAGCAGAUAACACACCAAGACUUUACGAGGCAGAAGUGUUGCAAAACUUCGACUCACAGCGCAAGGCAAGCAGUUUGUAAACGAGCUUCUUGAGGGAGGCAACGACAGCGUUGACCGAGGUGACAUUAUAAGAAUAGGAAAAUCCACAGAAUAUUAAAUGCAUUCUUCGCAUCCCU